UUGAACGCUGGCGGCAUGCUUUACACAUGCAAGUCGAACGGUAGACCCUUUCGGGGGUUGAGAGUGGCGAACGGGUGAGUAAUGCAUCGGAACAUACCCAGUCGUGGGGGAUAACGUAGCGAAAGUUACGCUAAUACCGCAUGAGUCCUGAGGGAGAAAGCGGGGGAUCGCAAGACCUCGCGCGAUUGGAGUGGCCGAUGUCAGAUUAGGUAGUUGGUGGGAUAAAAGCUUACCAAGCCGACGAUCUGUAGCUGGUCUGAGAGGACGACCAGCCACACUGGGACUGAGACACGGCCCAGACUCCUACGGGAGGCAGCAGUGGGGAAUUUUGGACAAUGGGCGCAAGCCUGAUCCAGCCAUGCCGCGUGCAGGAUGAAGGCCUUCGGGUUGUAAACUGCUUUUGUACGGAACGAAAAGACUCCUUCUAAUAAAGGGGGUCCAUGACGGUACCGUAAGAAUAAGCACCGGCUAACUACGU
rnacentral:rRNA from 1 species